rnacentral:piRNA from 1 species
UGAAUUGAGUGUCUUGUCUCCGUUACUGGA